rnacentral:tRNA from 1 species
GGUUCGGCUGCUCCGGCGCCGCGGGGGUGCCGCCCUGCUGGUGCGGGAAGGCCGGGGCCUGCUGCGGGCCGCUGUGCCACUCGGCGCCGUGCGGC